CAUUUUGAGUGAGCUAUUGCGGAAUUACUGUUAUACAAGGUUCAGAAAUUCUUACCCUCCUUUGUUGAUAUCUGUAACAAAGGAGGGUCAGAAUUUCUGAACCUUGAUAUAAUAAUAAUCCCGCAAUAUCUCACUCAAAAUG